AUGCGCGAUACACAAGCUUGCAGUGAUCCCGGGAUUUUCAGCAAAUUGAGAUUUAAAAACAAUUGCAUAACAGUUGUGACUAUUCUAGUGCAUAUAUAACCAAAAAAAAAGAAAUAAAUUUAAUGCACUAAAGCUUCGAAAAUGUAUGAAAGUAAAAUUUAAUAAAAUUCCGCGAAAUUUCAUGAAGGAUUUGGCGAAUUAACGUCAUGGCAAAACAACGACGUCAUACGAAUGGAAGUUUUACAAAAAAAUGUUUAUUAAUAUCACAAAUGUUUGGCUGAAGAAUUAUAAGGAUUAAACACAUUUUUCUAGAGGUUAUUGAUGUGUAAACCGGGG
rnacentral:lncRNA from 1 species